UAUUGGAUUGGCCAAAAAGUUCAUUUGGGUAUUUCUGUAAUAUCUUAUGGAAAAACCCAAACAGACUUUUUGGUCUACCCUAU
rnacentral:miRNA from 1 species